UACGUAGGGGGCAAGCGUUGUCCGGAAUCAUUGGGCGUAAAGCGCGUGUAGGCGGCCCGGUAAGUCCGCUGUGAAAGUCGGGGGCUCAACCCUCGAAUGCCGGUGGAUACUGUCGGGCUAGAGUGCGGGAGAGGCGAGUGGAAUUCCUGGUGUAGCGGUGAAAUGCGCAGAUAUCUGGAGGAACACCGGUGGCGAAGGCGGCGUUCUGGACUGCAACUGACACUGAGGAACGAAAGCCAGGGGAGCAAACGGG
rnacentral:rRNA from 1 species